AUGAAAGCCGCCGGAUUUCUCCGUGCCCGAGAUGAGCCCAGACGCACACGGAGCGCUAGAGAGGCACAGCUGCCCUCCCAGGUUUUGUGGAACAUUGAGAACUCACUCAGAGAGUGUAAGGACCGGCCAGGAGAUGCCGCAGGUGAUAAGCCAGCUUCUAAAAGGACACGACAGUGGGCACUGACACCUGCCUAGCGGUGAGCUGAAUCUGCAUGUGGUGGAACCAUGGACUUGGAGACACUGGUCACCUUCCAUUUCUCACGAUGGUCAGACCACAUAGGUUCGUCAAGCCCAAAUUCGUGAAUGUUAAGAGCUAUCUAGGGGCUGGUGCUGUGGCGUAGCAGGUAAAGCCACCACCUGCAGUGCUGGCAUCCCAUAUGGCGCCAGUUUGAGUCCCAGCUGCUCCACUUGUAAUCCAGCUCUCUGCUCUG
rnacentral:lncRNA from 1 species